UGUAGAUUUUCUCAAAAGAAAAAUUGUAAAAUUUCGAAGGAAAUUGAUUAAAGUAAUCAAGAUUUUUUUUUUCCUAUAAUAGCCGAAUAACUAUGAGCUUCUUUCAAAAGUAACUUAAAAUUUAUGCUCAAAUAAAAAAAUAAUUAUUUUUGUUUUUUUUUUUUUGUUUUAUGCAUCCUAAAAAUUCAACAUUCACAGAAAUGUCAUUUCUCUUUUUUUUUUUGAAAUAUGUUAUCUUCAUCACCUUUUUACAAAAAUGAAUUAUUUUCAAUAUCACCAAUUACUAUUAACAACCAAAACCAAACUUUAAAUGCACUAGAAAUUGGUUUAUAUAUCUUUUUAUUGCAUUUCUUACACAUACAAAUCAUUUAUCUUGAAUAUUCAUCAGAAUUUUUAAAAUGGGUGCAUUUGUGUAAAGUUAUUUCUUUUUUUCAAUUCAAUUGAAUUUAUUUCUUUGUUUUUUCACAUGAAAAUAUUCUUGGUUCUCAAUAGCAAUAAGCCUUAUUAACUAUCCAAUAAAUAACAUUACAUGAACAUAUUUGUAUAUUCACAUUACAUGAUGUUAUAACAAUCAUGUUUUAAAUAUAUACUAAUAAAAUAAUUUUAAUACAUCUUACUCUUAUUUUUUUUUAUCAUAAAUGUUUACAUGAAUCAUACUUGAUGUUUUUCGACUAAUUUUAUCUAAAUAUAUAUACUAUUAAAAUUAAAUAAUUAUAUAAAAAUAGAGAAUGUUAAAAUACAUAUUUGAUUUUUAAAUAUUAAAAAUUGUAUGAAAAGUUUAGUCAAAUUCUUUCGAAAUAUUAUCAAUUUUAUAGGAUUUCUCCGGGUUAACGGUGUCGGAUCACGACUUAAUGCCGUUUUUUUGAGUUUUUACAGAGUUUAAUGAGGCUUUUAAUUAAUGGGUUUUUUUGUUAAAUAUGAACUGAAUUACUUACAGGUCACCGAGUUUACUGGUCUGACCGCAUGUUUAGGUCGAAUAUUAAAACAUUGAAACAAUUAAGCUGAAAAGUUAUUCCGCGCUUUCAAGCGCAUAUCAAAAUCUAAUAUAUUUAUUAUAUAAAUAAGUGAUGAUAUAUUAUUAUAAUCAACACGUAGGCAAUCCUUCUUUUUUUCUUCCAAUAUUUUUUUUAGUAAAAUAACAGAUGAUACAUCUAUCUUCUAUAUAUCUUUAUAAAUAAAGUUGACAUAUAUGUCUUCUCAGGCGUCCACGUCGCUCUGGAGAGGGGGGUUUUCUCGCCACGUGUCUACCAGUUUUUGAUUUUUUUUAUUCGUUUGUUCUUUUGUAGUUUUUGGGCUUACAUCAUUUAUUCAAGUGGACUUAAUGAAAUCAUGAUAGGAGCCCAAAAGUCACGGCCUCCAUCUUCAAGAAUUACGACGAUCCAUUUCUAGAGUUCAUGCUCUUCAACCUCUGAUUUGUUAAAGCGGAGGGUUAUGUGAGACGAAUAUUGAUGACUGAUUUCUGGUGAAGCUGCUGUUCGUGUCAAAGCAUCUGUCAUCUCCGUCCACUGCUUGAUUGGAGUUUCUAGCCUUCUUUGCCUCAGUGUGCGACUAGCAAUCACCAUCUCAGCUUUCCGUUGUGCGCGGUUACCACUUCUUCACUAGUAUCAGCUUCCAGUUACGAGAGGAAGUUCUAAGAAGAUGAUCAGAGGAAGAAAGUCGAAGGCUUUAGUCAACUCGGCGCAAACCCAAUAUCAAUAUGACUGAGUUGCUAUUUUCACUUUUGAUCUCAGUCCACAAGAGUGUCUGGUGGAGUACCAACUGAAAUGCAGCUUGGUCUACUGCCUCCUCUACAUUUGAGGAAGCUCUUUGAACUCAUGGGAACUACUUACAUUAAGCUGGGCCAGAAUAUGUCAGAAGAUUUUUAGAACCCUUCAACAAAGCUCCUCCAGUUCCGUUUGAAGAAGUUCAUAAAAUUUUGCAAGAGGAACUUGGUAGACCCAGAGACAGUGUAUACGAAUAUGUUGACCCUACACAACUUGCAUCAGCCUCAAUAGCACAAGUAUGUUCUUCUGCUUCUUUUUUUUUAAAUCUGAAUCCAUUGUGUCUAUGUACUCUUCUCUACGUAAAAGAAGCAUCAUGACCAGGUCCAUGAACCAUGGCGCAAGGCUUAGAGGCUAACAAGUGGAUGUCGUGAUUAAGGUCUUGAAGCCUGGAAUAAAAGAUUUCUUAGUAGCAGAUUUGAACUUUAUCAACGAUGUUGCCCCUAUACUGCUCUAUACGCUCAUAAAUGACUUGAGUUCAAGCUUCUAGACACUGUUACAGUUUGCACGCCACCAAGUUGUUAAGGAAUUGUUUCUUACUAAAUGGAUUGGGGUGCAGUUAUUGAUGGGUACUAUUCUUGGGUUUCUCAUCAAACUACUAACAUGUCUGAUCAACUCAUCAAUUUCCACUCCAUGACCAAAAAUCAGGAGUAAAAGCACCUCCAAGAUUAGGAGAUACAAGGAUCCUCAUUAAACAAACUAUUUACUAUCACUGGAGUAGCAAGAAGAGAAAGAAGAAGAGCUUUUAAGGAUUAAAGAUGUUAGAUUCAACCUGGGAAGUCAUGGGUUCGAGUACCGCUGGGAGGUGAUAAUCUUGAGGGACCUUCAGACCCAAUACGGAGAAGCCUGCUAACGUGUGGCCAUUGGUGGGAUUUACAUGGGGUGAUCACCAGCCCUUCUGGAUGCUUCGGCUGGCUCCCCGGCUAAGAUCCGGUGGACGGUCAUUGGCGCUAGUCGGAUCCUCUCGAGGCUCCGGAUACAAGGAUCAUCAAAAAAAAAAGAAGAUGUUAGAGCUGGUGAAGAGGACGCUGCAAGCAAUGACAAGAUCAACGAACAGAGAAGCAGAUUAACAAACCUGAUAUAGAGUUCCUGAACAGCAAGAUGAUCUUUGCAAACUUCCGGUGUAUUGUGUACUUUGGCUUCCGCUUUGAGUAAAAUAUGUAUAUGUUUCACAACAUGGAGUAUUCAAAGAUAUUGUAUCUGAUACCUAUUUGAAAUUCCGUUUUUUUUUUUUUUGAUA